rnacentral:rRNA from 1 species
UACGAAGGGGGCUAGCGUUGUUCGGAUUUACUGGGCGUAAAGCGCACGUAGGCGGGUCGUUAAGUCAGGGGUGAAAUCCCGGAGCUCAACUCCGGAACUGCCUUUGAUACUGGCGACCUUGAGGCUGGAAGAGGUUAGUGGAAUUCCCAGUGUAGAGGUGAAAUUCGUAGAUAUUGGGAAGAACACCCGUGGCGAAGGCGGCUCUCUGGGACGGUACUGACGCUGAGACGCGAAAGCGUGGGGAGCGAACAGG